AUUGAACGCUGGCGGCAGGCCUAACACAUGCAAGUCGGGCGGUAACAGGCUUUUCGGAGUGCUGACGAGCGGCGGACGGGUGAGUAAAGUCUAGGAAUCUGCCCAGUAGUGGGGGACAACGCGGGGAAACUCGCGCUAAUACCGCAUACGCCCUACGGGGGAAAGGUGCUUUAUUGUACCGCUAUUGGAUGAGCCUAGAUCAGAUUAGCUAGUUGGUGGGGUAAAGGCCCACCAAGGCGACGAUCUGUAGCUGGUCUGAGAGGAUGAUCAGCCACACUGGGACUGAGACACGGCCCAGACUCCUACGGGAGGCAGCAGUGGGGAAUAUUGGACAAUGGGCGCAAGCCUGAUCCAGCCAUGCCGCGUGUGUGAAGAAGGUCUUCGGAUUGUAAAGCACUUUAAGUUGGGAGGAAGGGGUAGAGUAAUGACCUACUUUUGACGUUACCAACAGAAUAAGCACCGGCUAACUUC
rnacentral:rRNA from 1 species